GCAUCAGACCAGUGUCUGAUUGUACACGCAAGGCCGCGGGCGAGGUCUAUCAACCAGUUCCCAGUCUCCAGCCGUCCAGCGCAGUCUCCCUCCCCGUGCCCCGAUUCCCAAACCUAGCGCUAGCGGGCUAGCGGCCGGCGCCGCGGCGGCGGGCGGCGGCGAAUUCAGGUCCGGCCGACCCUCUCCUUUCCUCCCCUCGGCAGUACUGCCCCUCCAGCCUCGGCCUUCGGGCUCCGGCAGUCCGCUCCGCCCCUCCCCUCCCCAAACUGCAUCUGGUCCAGUGGUCCACCUCCGGUCUCCUCCGCCUCCGAGAUCCGGCCGGCCUCUAGUGCUCCCUCGACGGCUCCACUGCUCCACCGGCACCAAGAUGAAGAAGAAAGAUGUUAGCUUGUUUGAAUUGUGGGACAAAUCUUCAAAGGCAAGGAAAAUAAGUUCUAUGCUUCUGAUUUUACAAGGGAUGAACUGGCAAGACUUCCAUGGCAACUAAACAUGUAUGUUACUAAUGUGCGUAGAGAUGAAAGGUUUCAAAACCUGAAAAAUCUGUGUCAGCUUUCAGUUAUGCUUGUUGAGACAAACAAGCAUGAACAAUAUCAUACUUCCUCCGUUCCUUGAUAUAAGGUGUAUAGAUUUUUGAGAAAAAGUCCAAAAUAUAAGGUGUAUUGCGUUGCACCACUCGUUUGGACAAUUUUUUUAGAGAUUUGAUUACAUUUCCUUAUAUUAUGCAAGCUCCUCUAUUUUCUCAUGUCAAUUAGUCAGGUGAAAUCACACCCAAAAUUUGUGAAAAUUUCCCUCCACGUGCGUUAUUUAAUUUCCGUGCCAAAAACUAUACACCCUAUAUUUAGGAACGGAGGGAGUAUUGUUUACAAGCUUCUUAAGUUGGUACUGAUUCUGCCGGUAGCUACUGCUAGUGUUGAAAGGGUAUUCUCUUCAAUGAGCUAUGUGAAGAAUAAGGUAAGGAACAAAAUGGGUGAUGAUUAUUUGAACAAUUGUUUGGUUACAUUCGUUGAGAGAGAAUUUUUCAAUCAAGUGAAGGAUGAAGAUGUCAUCAAUCUGUUCCAAAAAGGCGACCGCAGAGUUAUAUUGUAAGAAGGAUAUCAUCACUUUAUCAAUCAACAGGUUUGGUUUAUUCCACAAUAAAAGAGGCUUGCAGCGUUGCUGAUUAAUGUCAUAUGACCACCUCGACAUCAUGAAUGAAUUGCGUCUUCAAUUCUGCCCCAACGGAUUCAAGAUGGCAAUGAUGCCAAUCGAUGAUGAGUUAGUGCAUCUGCAGAGCAAGUUCCAGAGCAUAUGUGAGGUGUUGGAAUAUGUGUAUUGUCAUUUGGUAAUCAUGUGCAUGCUCUGCUCCUUUUCCUGCAAUGAACAAGUUGUUGUAGCAACGUCCCAACUAAUCCUCCUGUCAAGUCCAGAGAGAGAUACUAGCUGCACCUAGCAUGUCAUGUCUCAAACUUCACUUCACCUUUUCCUCCCCGGAUGGAUACCCUUCGUAGCACACACGUCUUAAAUAAAUGCCAAGUUUCAUCUUUCUGGCAAUUGCACGCCCUCUCCCUCAAAUCACAUAAUUUCUUGAAGGGUCAAUCACAUGAUUAAGCCCAGCCAUUGCUUUCCUUAAAUAAAUUGUUGAGAAAUUACUCAGUUAGACGAAUAACGUGAAAUCCAGCAUGCUGAUGAGUAGCUCGAAUUGAUAGCUUGUAAAGUGGCACGGCGACAGCUCCAAGAACCAAGACUGGAGCUGCCUUUUGGACACUACUGAAAACACCGGUACUGGCAAAGUAAACUGAAAGGGCGCAGAUGCAUUCACUGUUCAUCAGGCAUCAGGCAUCAGCCUCGUCCUUGAUCUCACCUUGAGGCUAGAGAGAAAGCAGAGAGAGAGGCUGGGUCAGAUUCAGAAAUUUAAUGUGAGAAAGAGAUGCUAGAUCCCACACCAGCUAGUGCUAGCUAGAACCUAGGUGUGUCUGUAUGUCUGAACCUCUAGCUACAACU